rnacentral:rRNA from 1 species
GGAAUAUUGGACAAUGGGCGAAAGCCUGAUCCAGCCAUGCCGCGUGUGUGAAGAAGGUCUUCGGAUUGUAAAGCACUUUAAGUUGGGAGGAAGGGCAGUUACCUAAUACGUGAUUGUUUUGACGUUACCGACAGAAUAAGCACCGGCUAACUCUGUGCCAGCAGCCGCGGUAAUACAGAGGGUGCAAGCGUUAAUCGGAAUUACUGGGCGUAAAGCGCGCGUAGGUGGUUUGUUAAGUUGGAUGUGAAAUCCCCGGGCUCAACCUGGGAACUGCAUUCAAAACUGACUGACUAGAGUAUGGUAGAGGGUGGUGGAAUUUCCUGUGUAGCGGUGAAAUGCGUAGAUAUAGGAAGGAACACCAGUGGCGAAGGCGACCACCUGGACUGAUACUGACACUGAGGUGCGAAAGCGUGGGGAGCAAACAGGAUUAGAUACCCGGG